CGAAGGGAAACCGAGUCUUAACUGGGCGUUAAGUUGCAGGGUAUAGACCCGAAACCCGGUGAUCUAGCCAUGGGCAGGUUGAAGGUUGGGUAACACUAACUGGAGGACCGAACCGACUAAUGUUGAAAAAUUAGCGGAUGACUUGUGGCUGGGGGUGAAAGGCCAAUCAAACCGGGAGAUAGCUGGUUCUCCCCGAAAGCUAUUUAGGUAGCGCCUCGUGAAUUCAUCUCCGGGGGUAGAGCACUGUUUCGGCAAGGGGGUCAUCCCGACUUACCAACCCGAUGCAAACUGCGAAUACCGGAGAAUGUUAUCACGGGAGACACACGGCGGGUGCUAACGUCCGUCGUGAAGAGGGAAACAACCCAGACCGCCAGCUAAGGUCCCAAAGUCAUGGUUAAGUGGGAAACGAUGUGGGAAGGCCCAGACAGCCAGGAUGUUGGCUUAGAAGCAGCCAUCAUUUAAAGAAAGCGUAAUAGCUCACUGGUCGAGUCGGCCUGCGCGGAAGAUGUAACGGGGCUAAACCAUGCACCGAAGCUGCGGCAGCGACACUGUGUGUUGUUGGGUAGGGGAGCGUUCUGUAAGCCUGUGAAGGUGUACUGUGAGGUAUGCUGGAGGUAUCAGAAGUGCGAAUGCUGACAUAAGUAACGAUAAAGCGGGUGAAAAGCCCGCUCGCCGGAAGACCAAGGGUUCCUGUCCAACGUUAAUCGGGGCAGGGUGAGUCGACCCCUAAGGCGAGGCCGAAAGGCGUAGUCGAUGGGAAACAGGUUAAUAUUCCUGUACUUGGUGUUACUGCGAAGGGGGGACGGAGAAGGCUAUGUUGGCCGGGCGACGGUUGUCCCGGUUUAAGCGUGUAGGCUGGUUUUCCAGGCAAAUCCGGAAAAUCAAGGCUGAGGCGUGAUGACGAGGCACUACGGUGCUGAAGCAACAAAUGCCCUGCUUCCAGGAAAAGCCUCUAAGCAUCAGGUAACAUCAAAUCGUACCCCAAACCGACACAGGUGGUCAGGUAGAGAAUACCAAGGCGCUUGAGAGAACUCGGGUGAAGGAACUAGGCAAAAUGGUGCCGUAACUUCGGGAGAAGGCACGCUGAUAUGUAGGUGAAGUCCCUCGCGGAUGGAGCUGAAAUCAGUCGAAGAUACCAGCUGGCUGCAACUGUUUAUUAAAAACACAGCACUGUGCAAACACGAAAGUGGACGUAUACGGUGUGACGCCUGCCCGGUGCCGGAAGGUUAAUUGAUGGGGUCAGCGCAAGCGAAGCUCUUGAUCGAAGCCCCGGUAAACGGCGGCCGUAACUAUAACGGUCCUAAGGUAGCGAAAUUCCUUGUCGGGUAAGUUCCGACCUGCACGAAUGGCGUAAUGAUGGCCAGGCUGUCUCCACCCGAGACUCAGUGAAAUUGAACUCGCUGUGAAGAUGCAGUGUACCCGCGGCAAGACGGAAAGACCCCGUGAACCUUUACUAUAGCUUGACACUGAACAUUGAGCCUUGAUGUGUAGGAUAGGUGGGAGGCUUUGAAGUGUGGACGCCAGUCUGCAUGGAGCCGACCUUGAAAUACCACCCUUUAAUGUUUGAUGUUCUAACGUGGACCCGUGAUCCGGGUUGCGGACAGUGUCUGGUGGGUAGUUUGACUGGGGCGGUCUCCUCCUAAAGAGUAACGGAGGAGCACGAAGGUUGGCUAAUCCUGGUCGGACAUCAGGAGGUUAGUGCAAUGGCAUAAGCCAGCUUGACUGCGAGCGUGACGGCGCGAGCAGGUGCGAAAGCAGGUCAUAGUGAUCCGGUGGUUCUGAAUGGAAGGGCCAUCGCUCAACGGAUAAAAGGUACUCCGGGGAUAACAGGCUGAUACCGCCCAAGAGUUCAUAUCGACGGCGGUGUUUGGCACCUCGAUGUCGGCUCAUCACAUCCUGGGGCUGAAGUAGGUCCCAAGGGUAUGGCUGUUCGCCAUUUAAAGUGGUACGCGAGCUGGGUUUAGAACGUCGUGAGACAGUUCGGUCCCUAUCUGCCGUGGGCGCUGGAGAACUGAGGGGGGCUGCUCCUAGUACGAGAGGACCGGAGUGGACGCAUCACUGGUGUUCGGGUUGUCAUGCCAAUGGCACUGCCCGGUAGCUAAAUGCGGAAGAGAUAAGUGCUGAAAGCAUCUAAGCACGAAACUUGCCCCGAGAUGAGUUCUCCCUGACCCUUUAAGGGUCCUGAAGGAACGUUGAAGACGACGACGUUGAUAGGCCGGGUGUGUAAGCGCAGCGAUGCGUUGAGCUAACCGGUACUAAUGAACCGUGAGGCUUAACCUUACAACGCCGAAGGUGUUU
rnacentral:rRNA from 1 species